rnacentral:lncRNA from 1 species
GUAUUAUACUUUUCAUCAUAUUGUUGAAUCAAAAAUCAGUUGAUGAUCUUAUACCUUUUGUUGGUUAUAGUGAGAUAAAAUAGUUUUACUGGUAUUUGUAGAAUUAGGUAACAAUUGAAUGCAAUCUAUUCUUCAAUCGUGAUGGAUACGAAGAAACCCAUCAGCUUUGGUCUUCAUGGUUAUGGUGACAUUCCGACUUUCUUAAUUUUUCAAUUUCUUAUAAGAGGUAGUAUAUUAAUUUUAUUACUUCAGUAACAUUACAUUAUUUGCGUAGGAUUAACAUCGCCUUAGAAAAAUUAAAGAAAUCAUUAUGUACACUCCUACUGUCCUACACAACCAAAGAUAAGCAAGAAAUAAAAGGUUCUCUAAAAAUAACUCUCUAGCAUCUAUACUAACUGAGUCCUUAUAAGUGCACAAAAAGUCACUAGAAAUCGAAGAUCCUGAUAUGAACAUAUUUUCCGCACCUUCAAGGUUUUAUUUCUUGUUCAUUUCCCUUCAAAGUAUGCACAUAUCAGUCAAUAAGCUACAUCCCAUCGAACAGAACUUUAGAUUACAUGCCUUUUAUCUUAGGUUUAGGCUUAAAGAUUAAUAUAUAGCCGUACUUUAUUUUAUUUAUUUGAUAAAGUCAAUUUUCUUGAAGAUUGUACUUUGUGAAAGAUGUAGCUUUAUUUAUUUGAAUAAAAACUUUGUGAACUUCUAAAAGGAACCCUUUUGAAUUAUGUUUUUUUUUAGAAGACUAUAUCUAUACCAUACAAUGCUAAGCUUCAUAAACUCAAGUAGUGAGAGCAAACUGAUAGCAUUAAACUGACACAUUAUACUUAGCAUUGAGUCAGUCUAAGACAUAAUUGCAUCUAAAUAUGUAGCAUGAUAUACAUCACUCUUAGUGGUAAUCAAUGUAAGUAUCAACAAAGAAAACAAACGCUUAAUUCUUCUGCUUGCUGUGACUUUAUUGCAUUCCUCUUCUCCCUUAAGUCAUCUACUUCAUAUUGGCCACUAAAAUUUUUGAUCAACUUUUAUAGUGAUGAUCAUGCAGGGCUACUAAAACAGAGGUCUCCAAACUCGGAUGGUAAGUUAGAUGCUUAGGUAACGAGGGAAACCUACAUCAUUGAAGGCUGCUUGUGAAGCUUUGGCCGGUGCAGUUUCUUAAUCUUUCAUGAAGAUCAUCUUUGGAAUCACAACAUCCUUUUAUAACACAGGUAAACAACAUGUAAUGUGAUUCUUUACUUUAUUCCAAUUUGUUUAAGUUGCCAAGUUUAACAUAGUCAUUAGCUUCAUGAUUGUUCAACAUCUAGCCCUGAUCUAUAUUAUUUCUAACCAUGAAACAAUUUCAUAAACAUCUUGUCAGUGGAUGCUUUAGGCAAAAUGAUGAUAAAGGGGAUAGUGCCUCCCUACCCUCACAAUGUAAGGUAAGG